rnacentral:lncRNA from 1 species
UUUAUUUGAUUGGAAAUUAAUCUGUCUUUGUUUUCUUGAUUUGAAAUCUUAUUUGUUUUUCAGUUGAGCUAAUAGAAGCGUUUUGUUUUGUUUUGUUUUUGGGUUCUUCAUUUCAUGUAAAGUUUUUCUAAUUAUAUUGAUUGGAGAUGCCUUAUUUAAUUUCAGAUUAUUCUGUUAAUCACUUGAUGCUUCUUUCUUCAUAUGUAUUGAGUAGCUUCUGGUCCAAAAUCAAGUAUUUACAGUCCCACAUAUUAGAAUAUAAAACAUAAUUUACACAGAGCUUGGUAUGGUAUGAAAUUUUGGGCACAUCAGGUUACCAAAGUAUGGUUAUGAUGUUAAUUUGCUUCUGUGUAUAUAUAUAUAUAUAUAUAUAUAUAUGCGACUGCUCUCUUUGACAUAAGUUGACAAGUUUUGAUCAGAGGCUGUGCAAAAUGUAACUGUAUUGUCAUGUCUUUUGAGCCCAAUGGCCUUGAUUAUGGCUCAAAUUCAAGGUACAGAAAACACAUUGAGAGCUGAUAGACGAUAUUGGGUCUUAGUGCUCAAAACAUUUGUUCUUCAUUUGCGUAUGUAAAUAUCUGAUUAGAUUUCUCAGUCAUGGAACAAUAGUUGCUGGAAUGUUUGGUUCUCAUUCAAAAAUGCAUCAAGCAUGCCCAUGUUUUUUUCAGCAUAUGCAGUGAAAAAUUCUAUGCAAACUCUGAAGGUAAGUGAUUGGCAUCUUGAAGGAGCUAGGAGCAUUUAAUAUAUUCUACAGCCAAGCCACGGGAGGAGAAGAAAAAACAAAUGGCCAAGCUCUAGAGUACAUUGUAAAUUAUUUUGCUAGUUAGCUUCAAUAGUUAGGUCUCAUGGAACAAUUAAUGACUAUUGUAGAUGUAUUUUGAUGGUUGUAAUGACAUUGGAGUUUUCAGAAUGAAUGUGAACAUCAAAGAAUGGC